UUUUACUUUUUCCAAACGUGGGGAACAAUCCUCACACAUGUUGCUUGAUAACACACGCAUUGCAUGCAAUUUAAUUGAUGUCUACCAUGUUCAUUCAACCUAUUAGCUUCCCUAGUAAUGAUGAAUAUGAACCGAAAUUUGGGUCACCUUUUGUGUCAUUUUCCCUAGUCCAUGGUAAUGGAAACAUUGGUUACCCACCCAUAUUCACUUGGAAAUAUGUACCUAUUAGGGAUUUGGUGACUGGACAAGGCAUUUACACUAAGUGUACAAGGCCAAUGUACUAAAAGUACAAGGGUGUACAAGGGUGUCUAUCUUACUUUUUCCAAACGUGGGUAACAAUCCUCACACAUGUUGCUUGAUAACACACGCAUUGCAUGCAAUUUAAUUGAUCUCUACCAUGUUCAUUCAACCUAUUAGCUUCCCUAGUAAUGAUGAAUAAGUUCCGAAAUUUGGGUCACCUUUUGUGUCAUUUUCCCUAGUCCAUGGUAAUGGAAACAUUGGUUACCCACCCAUAUUCACUUGGAAAUAUGUACCUAUUAGGGAUUUGGUGACUGGACAAGCCAUUUACACUAAGUGUACAAGGCAAAUGUACUAAAAGUACAAGGGUGUACAAGGGUGUGUAUCUUACUUUUUCCAAACGUGGGGAACAAUCCUCACACAUGUUGCUUGAUAACACACGCAUUGCAUGCAAUUUAAUUGAUGUCUACCAUGUUCAUUCAACCUAUUAGCUUCCCUAGUAAUGAUGAAUAAGUUCCGAAAUUUGGGUCACCUUUUGUGUCAUUUUCCCUAGUCCAUGGUAAUGGAAACAUUGGUUACCCACCCAUAUUCACUUGGAAAUAUGUUCCUAUUAGGGAUUUGGUGACUGGACAAGCCAUUUACACUAAGUGUACAAGGCAAAUGUACUAAAAGUACAAGGGUGUACAAGGGUGUGUAUCUUACUUUUUCCAAACGUGGGGAACAAUCCUCACACAUGUUGCUUGAUAACACACGCAUUGCAUGCAAUUUAAUUGAUGUCUACCAUGUUCAUUCAACCUAUUAGCUUCCCUAGUAAUGAUGAAUAAGUUCCGAAAUUUGGGUCAC
rnacentral:lncRNA from 1 species